UAGGGAAUAUUGGGCAAUGGACGCAAGUCUGACCCAGCCAUCCCGCGUGCAGGAUGAAGGACCUCUGGUUCGUAAACUGCUUUUGUGAGGGAAGAAAAAGCGAUACGUGUAUCGAACUGACGGUACCUCACGAAUAAGCACCGGCUAACUCCGUGCCAGCAGCCGCGGUAAUACGGAGGGUGCAAGCGUUAUCCGGAUUCACUGGGUUUAAAGGGUGCGUAGGCGGCUCGAUAAGUCAGUGGUGAAAGCUCUCGGCUCAACCGGGAAACUGCCAUUGAAACUGCCGAGCUUGAAUCUGGUUGAAGUGGGUGGAAUAUGACAUGUAGCGGUGAAAUGCUUAGAUAUGUCGUAGAACACCGAUUGCGAAGGCAGCCCACUAAACCAACAUUGACGCUGAGGCACGAAAGCGUGGGGAGCGAACAG
rnacentral:rRNA from 1 species